GGGGAAUAUUGCACAAUGGAGGAAACUCUGAUGCAGCAACGCCGCGUGAAGGAAGAAGGUUUUCGGAUCGUAAACUUCUAUCAAAAGGGACGAAACAAAUGACGGUACCUUAAUAAGAAGCACCGGCUAACUACGUGCCAGCAGCCGCGGUAAUACGUAGGGGGCAAGCGUUAUCCGGAAUUACUGGGUGUAAAGGGAGCGUAGGCGGCAUGGUAAGUUAGAUGUGAAAGCCCGGGGCUUAACCCCGAGGAUUGCAUUUAAAACUAUCAAGCUAGAGUACAGGAGAGGAAAGCGGAAUUCCUAGUGUAGCGGUGAAAUGCGUAGAUAUUAGGAAGAACACCAGUGGCGAAGGCGGCUUUCUGGACUGAAACUGACGCUGAUGCUCGAAAGCGUGGGGAGCGAACA
rnacentral:rRNA from 1 species